rnacentral:lncRNA from 1 species
AGUUACACAGCCAUAUCUGCCAAAGGCUUUUGCUAUUUGAUUCAUGCUGAUCUCUGUUUACCUAAAAUAAGAAGGUCAGACUAAAUCAUCUAAAACAUCUUGUGUUCCUUGAACGUAACUUGGUCUAUAAGUGUAUUUAAACACAUAUGUCCUAUAUUUUUUGGAGAAUGCAUUUCUAUCAUUAAUACUCUAUUGGUAGUAAAAUAGCAGUCUCAUGAUAUUCACCAUUAUGUGGCAAAAUGAUCACUCUUUCUACCUUAAUUUACAGAUUAUUGUCUAUUAAGUACCAACAGCAGAGAAGUCAAAGAGCUUCGAUCACUACCUUUUCCAAGUUUAUUCAUCUUCCAGAAGUAGUAUAUGUGAAAGGAUUGUUCAAUUCAAUACUAACUUCUCAUAAUCCCAAUAUCUUGGACUAUAUGUAAAGGAACUUGUUCACAAAAUCACAGAAAACAACUACAGAAAAUAUAUUCUCACCAGUCUGAAAUCCAAAAACAAAUUUACCUUCUAUACAUGUGCAGAAUCCAGUCAGGAAAGCACCUGCUCUGUACAAUGUUUACAAGAUGCAUGUGGUUGCAGAGGGGCCAUGUGGAUGUUGGAGGUAAAGUGCAGCACUGGACUGGUUUUGUAAGAAAUUUAAAAUGUGAGUAGGUUAAAACCUAGUAAAAAUGGCUGGGUUUUCUGUGAAAGUCUAUGGCACAAUCAAAACUUUAUAAUUCAUGUUUAAAUUAAAUGAACUAGCAAGUACCUUUAAAUAACAGGAAAAGGGAGAAAAUAAUGCAGCCUGCUUUUGUGGAAGGCCUCCUGCUCCAACUGCUUAGCAGUAUGUUCCAGAUUCUGCCAUUAUCAGAGGCAGUUGCUGAGAUGUGAACAGCUCUUAAGUUGUGGGCAUCUACCUGAGGUCCCUGACUACAAAGGGAGAGGAUGUAGCUUUACAAUUCUUCAAAAUCAAUGAAUCAAACCAAAAUGGGCAAAUAGGGAAUUUCCCAAAUUCCAACCUCUCCUGCAAUGGUCAAGUUGGACCAUUUUUUUUUCUAGACAUUAUAGCAAUUUAAAAAAGAAGGACCCAAAUCUGGACAUUUUCAUACUGUCUCUAAAAAUCUAUUGAAAUAGACUAAAAAAUGGCAAGGCUGAACAUGGUUGGCUUUGGUGCAUUAUAAAAGAGAAUUUUGAUUUUAUUUUUAAAUAUGUAAAGUACCUUCAAAGACUGGAGGAAAAGAUUUAUUACAUUAUGGCUGCAAAGUAGAAUUUAAUAUUCUAUGUUCCUAACUCAUUCCAUUUAUUUCACUAACAAUAAAGAACUAUUUCUAUGAGUAUUCA